UACGUAGGUGACAAGCGUUGUCCGGAUUUACUGGGCGUAAAGAGCGCGCAGGCGGUCGUUCAAGUCGAGUGUGAAAGCCCCCGGCUCAACUGGGGAGGGUCACUCGAUACUGAUCGACUCGAAGGCAGGAGAGGGAAGUGGAAUUCCCGGUGUAGUGGUGAAAUGCGUAGAUACUGGGAGGAACACCGGUGGCGAAGGCGGCUACCUGGACCGGUUCUGACGCUGAUGCGCGAAAGCGUGGGUAGCAAACAGG
rnacentral:rRNA from 1 species